rnacentral:SRP_RNA from 13 species
GCCAGAUGUGGUGGUGUGUGUCUGUAGUCCCAGUUACUCAGGAGGCUGAGGCUGGAGAAUGGCUUGAGCCCAGGAGUUCUGGGCUGUAAUGUGCUAUGCCGAUUGGGUGUCCAUACUAAGAUCGGCAUCAAUAUGGUGACCUCUCGGGAGCGGGAGACCACCAGGUUGCAUAAGGAGGGGUGAACCGGCCCAGGUUGGAAACAGAGCAAGUCAAAACUCCCGUGCUGAUCAGUAGUGGGAUUGUGCCCGUGAACAGCCACUGCACUCCAGCCUGGGCAACAUAGCAAGAUCCUGUCUUUA